CGACAUCUCCCGACGUUGGCCUAGGGCAAGACCUGGUGCGCCGCCGAGAGAGAGAGGAGGAGGAGGAGGAAGGGAGGGACAUCCCCCGUGUAUGCGUGGUGGGCGAGGGCGAUGUCUCUGGUCACACCGGUGCGUGACUCCUCGACGUGUAUCGGUGUAUGGCGUCCUGCCGGCGGGCGCGGAGCGGGGGGCGGUAGCGGCCGAGCGCACUCAACCUCGCGCUGAAUUUGUUCAACCUUGUACCUCAACGUCCUUUACGAUCUUCAGUAUUGCUUUGUCCGCGUCCACAAGCACAUUGUCGGGCAAGACGACGGGCGCGCUUCUGCACUCCCUUGACCUUGCCCGUGGCCCGAGAGUCUGGAAAGUCGCUAGGUGCAGCCGCCAUGCCCUCCUGCUGGCAAUUCCUUCAAUCGCUGCAGUCUGCACCUGAUCAUGAUAAGUAACCCAACCUUUUGAAUUGUGAUCGGAAGCAAUUGAUUUCUUUUGCUGAAAAUAUAUAUGAGGUGAGUCCAAAUUGAAUUCGUCUGCAAUCAGUUGAUUUGUCAACAUGGAGUAGUCACAUCUUACCAGUGCAUUCUCCAAUUCCCCAUUGUUGUCUCACUCUGUAAUCCCCUGCCCCCUAAUCUAAUCGUCUUUGCUUCAGUCAGUGUACCCUGGAUUUGAACGAAAUCAAAUACCCACCAUGUGCUUCUAAUUGACACGCUUGACACCUAACUUGCUGACUUGAACAUCUGAAUUGUGACGACGACUAAGGAAUUAAGUAUCUAGAUCAUUUGUAUCAUUUCUUAGAGAAUUAACCUAGCCAGCAUAAACACCAAAUAUUUAGAUUCAGCAGUGUGCUUAUGUUAAGUUCAACAUGGUUUAAAUUCACUAAAGUGCAGGUAGCUCUCAGCAUCAACAUCACAUGGGACAAGUAUAAAUGCAAUCUGAAGUCAAUAAUGUUAUUGUUCGCAUGCAACUUAAUGUUGUAUGCAUGGGGUAGAAGAAGCAAACAAGCGGUCUACUCCAUCUAGCACCUCAAAGAGCAACCGCAGUGCAGACCGCCCCUUGCAGGCUUCAGAUCACCCACAAGAACGUUGAGAAUUUGGGCGGACAUACUAUAGCUCUUACUACUUGAGUACUUGUUGGUCCGCUACAGAGUGGCUCCCGCUCCAAGUUGGGCACAAAACCCCAGGAGCAUGUUGAGGGCAUAAGGCAAGCAGAAUAACAAGAAAUCCGCCAAACAUUGUGUGUUCAACUUUGUUUUUGGUUCUGGGAAUUGCCUCUUCGUUGGCCUCCAGGUGAUGACUUCCUUAGAUAGGAACCGGUCUCCUUGUACUUUCAUAGAGAAGUGUUGUAAAUUGCAUUCUAUUAUAUGUUGCCACAACUUUUCCAGAGUUGUUUGUAUAUGUCAAUGCUUGACAUGAUGAGGUUUUGCUUAGUAAGCAUGCCUUUGUGUAACUCUUUCCUCAA